rnacentral:misc_RNA from 1 species
GGACUCCAAAAUCUUUUCCGCUCCAGACUUCUCUGCAUCUACAUGAAGUUUGGUUCCAGUUUUUCCCAGGAAAUACCUUAGCCAUGUCUGAUAUCUUUGCAGAUAUUAUUGUCUUCUCUGGAUUCAGAUUGAAAAAGGCAACAUAUAUCUCUCCUUUUCUUCCUGCUGCAACCCAAGACCGAGCUCCACUGGGACCAGUUUUAGCAUUGACUUGAGCACAGAGUCCAGAAUAAUUGCUGAUGAGGGCUCCGGUAUUUUUCAACUCCCACAUCUGGUUCGCG